rnacentral:rRNA from 1 species
UCGAGGAUCUUCGGCAAUGGGCGCAAGCCUGACCGAGCGACGCCGCGUGGGCGACGAAGGCCUUCGGGUUGUAAAGCCCUGUCGAGGGGGAGAAAAUUUUGAUCUAUCCCUGGAGGAAGCACGGGCUAAGUUCGUGCCAGCAGCCGCGGUAAGACGAACCGUGCGAACGUUGUUCGGAAUCACUGGGCUUAAAGGGCGCGUAGGCGGGCCGCCAAGUCCGCGGUGAAAUCCCCCGGCUCAACCGGGGAACUGCCGCGGAUACUGGAGGUCUCGAGGGGGGUAGGGGCAUGCGGAACUGCGGGUGGAGCGGUGAAAUGCGUUGAUAUCCGCAGGAACUCCGGUGGCGAAGGCGGCGUGCUGGACCCUUUCUGACGCUGAGGCGCGAAAGCCAGGGGAGCGAACG